GGCGGCGGCGGCGGCAGCAGCAGCAGCAGCAGCAGCAGCAGCAGCAACUGGAUUUGCUUUUUCACCAGAGGAUCCAGAUUUCCCUGUGGCCUUGCAAACAAAAAAGAAGGAAGACGGAGCAGCACAGUCAUCCCUUUGUGAAAAAAGCAUUCAGUUUAUUCUGGUUUAGGUGGUUGAGGGGAGACUCAGUGAAGUCUUGGGGGUUCAGAGCUACACUGCCAGCCUCUGGGACAGCAGCCCCAGUGUCCCCCGACCCAGGCCUUGCUCCUCCCUGCUGAUGAACGCCCACUCUGCUCCCAGAUGCACACCUGUCCUGAAGACACCCGGUUCUCAUGCUCUUCUCUGCAGCACCUGAAUUGGGCAUUCCUGGGUAAAGCAGUUUAAGUUACUUUCACUUUUAUCCACUUGUUUCCGUUAUUUCAACCAUGCAUGUCCCUUGUGUAUGUAGGAUAAAGCUGUCUAAGAAUAAAGGUCCAUGAUUUAAAGUUUUUUCCUCUUCUUUCCCUGUCCUGACCACCUGAUCAUAAACUUGUAGAAAUAAAGUGGAUCUCAUGUUGUGUAUCUUUC
rnacentral:lncRNA from 1 species